UAUUUUCAUUGUGCAUCAAAGCUUCUUGAAGAAGCUACAGGACGAGCAGGGUGAAAACCUUAGCUCGACAUUCUGCUCGCGGCUGCCAUCAGGGAUGUUUGCAAGUGAGGGUUUGGGAAAAGAAAACUUUUGGGCGCAUUCCUUCACUAUUCGCACUGUCAAAAACAAAUCUAUACAUAGUGAUUGCUUUGGUUAUGCAGUUUUAGGGAGAUGUUGAUGAUAGUAUUUCAGAUCAGUGACACGAAUUUUAGGGUUGUUGGUGCUUCAAUGUAUGUUAUUCUUUAUGAUGGCUUUAUGUAGUCGGUCUGGUCUGGUAUAGAACAAUAUAUUUUCCUAUGAUGGUGUAUUAGUAUUUUGCUUUGAAUUA